UCCUACGGGGCGCAGCAGUGGGGAAUAUUGCACAAUGGGGGGAACCCUGAUGCAGCGACGCCGCGUGAGUGAAGAAGUAUUUCGGUAUGUAAAGCUCUAUCAGCAGGGAAGAAGAUGACGGUACCUGACUAAGAAGCCCCGGCUAACUACGUGCCAGCAGCUGCGGUAAUACGUAGGGGGCAAGCGUUAUCCGGAUUUACUGGGUGUAUAGGGAGCGUAGACGGCAGGGCAAGUAUGGAGUGAAAGCCCGGGGCC
rnacentral:rRNA from 1 species